GAUGAACGCUGGCGGCGUGCCUAAUACAUGCAAGUCGAGCGGACGGACGAUAAGCUUGCUUCUCUGAUGUUAGCGGCGGACGGGUGAGUAACACGUGGAUAACCUACCUAUAAGACUGGGAGAACUUCGGGAAACCGUAGCUGAUACCGGAUAAUAUGUUGUACCGCAGGGUUCAAAAGUUAAUGACAGUCUUGCUGUCACUUAGAGAUGGUGCCGCGCUGCAUUAGCUAGUUGGUAAGGUAACGGCUUACCAAGGCAACGAUGCAUAGCCGACCUGAGAGGGUGAUCGGCCACACUGGAACUGAGACACGGUCCAGACUCCUACGGGAGGCAGCAGUAGGGAAUCUUCCGCAAUGGGCGAAAGCCUGACGGAGCAACGCCGCGUGAGUGAUGAAGGUCUUCGGAUCGUAAAACUCUGUUAUUAGGGAAGAACAUAUGUGUAAGUAAAUGUGCACAUCUUGACGGUACCUAAUCAGAAAGCCACGGCUAACUACGUG
rnacentral:rRNA from 1 species